AUGUGGAGCUAUCCUGCAUUAACUGUUUAUACUGAGGAAUUGCACGUGCUGACCUAUACUACUUCUAACAUUGAACGCAAAUCAUACCAAGAGUUGUGUUCUGAUCACGCGGUCUCUUAUAAGAAGAAAAAGAAUAAGAUGCAGGUUCAAAUUUGCACAGAUCGCGGUUCAGCUGUUUCGAGUUUGAAUAAUGACAGAGAAUAUAUAUACCAAUCUAUCUGGUGGCGCAUGCUUAACACUGUAGACAUUCCAACUGCUGGUAUGAAAAUUCCACUUCAAAUGGGAGGUUCAUUCAGUUGUAACCGUAUACCGUAA
rnacentral:rRNA from 1 species